GGGAAUCUGGUGCAAAGUGCAAAGACUAUAGUUUGGUCUACAGUUGCUUUCAAGGAGGUGGAUGCCGGUUCUGGUUUAUCUUUUUAACUUUAGUUGGAUCUGAGGAGCAAACCAAGGCAAUUUGUUGAUCUAGGAAAUACUUGCAUUUGAACCUCCUUCUGGAGGGUUAGAAGGAACACUUAUAUUACCCUGUUAUUUAUUUUUGCGUUUUUGUUUCUCUCGCGCAUUCCGUAUUUAUUUGUUCCAGUAGCCUAGGUAAAAAUGUACUGCACAUUGGUAUCAUUUCGGUGGGUAUCAUCUGGUGGUUAUCAUCUAUAUAUAAUGAGCUUACUGUAAACUAUAUUCAAUAGUUGCCUCUUUUAGCUUUUCAUAUUGUGUGAUUAUGCAUCGUUUUGUUGCAUGGUUGGGUGAAUAUUUGCCUGAUCAAUUUUCACCUGGCGACGUAUUGCUAAGAUUCUUUUACAUGUUAUAAAGAUAACACUAUAAUCAGUUCUAGUAUAUGGUUUGUUUUGUCACUAGGUGCGGUAACUUAAGUUGCAUUGUCAUGUACUCCCUCCGUCCCAAAAUAAGUGUCAACUUUGUACUAGCUCUAGUACAAAUUUGUACUAAGCUCAAGACACUUAUUUUGGGACGGAGGGAGUAUUCAGGUAUGAGAACCAUGCAUUCGAUACAAUCUAGGAUUGCAUUAUUAUCUUGAGAGUACUUAGCAUUAUGUCAUGGAAUUGAGGACCCUUCCUUGGCAUUAAUUUGCUUGCUGAGAGGAAGCAUUGUUGAGCAUAUUAUCAGUUUAAUUGCCCCACCUACAGUUGAAGAUUUGAACUGUGUUGUUAGGUUAUGGUUGGUACCACAGUUGAAAUAAUUGUCUGUUGUCUUCAUCCCUUAAAUAAGCGGCUGGUAAUCUAACCCUGCUAGCAGAAAUUAAGGUGUGAUGGUAGGGUUUCCUGUCCUCAUAAAUGUGGCCUGAAACUCCUGGUGCUGGUCGCUUGCUUUUUUUCUUUCUCUUUGGUGAAGUGCCUAUUGUUAGCCAUAUUAAACUAUACUACUGAUCAAGCUAGUGGCAAACUGAAAGCGGCAUAAAUAGUUUAUAUCGUGUAGUAGAAGUUUUAUCUUAGCCAUAUUAAACCAUGCUGAUACAGCAAGUGGCAAACUGAUAGCGGCAUAAAUAGUUUUGUCUCAUAGAAGGUUAAUCUUAUGCCUAAAGUCUCUGGCGACUUGUUCUUGGUAGGAUUUCUGUUGUCAGGGUACUGCUAGGACAUGCUCACGGAGAUUUGCAUAUUUCUGUUGUUCUUUUUAUACUUGGGUAGCUUUGUUUUCAAACCAUGACGUGCAUAAUACUCCCUCUGUUCCAAAUUACUCGUCGCAGAAACGGAUCUUAGUUUCUUACUUGGUUAGCAAUUGUUUUCAAAACUGAUCAACUGCGUGUAGCAACAAAGCCACUAUGGGGUGUACGUACUUCAACUGAACUGCAUAAUACUCGGUUGGCACCAGUUCCAGAUUUCAGGUGUGUUGGUACCACAAUUUGGGUGAGUUGCGUUGUGGAACUGUGGGGCAGAGCAACACGAUGUUGGUGCCUGCGUUAUCUGAAUGAAUGCUGGGGCAAAGCAACUGGGUCCUAGGAUUGCGUAGGAGCAAAUCGCUCGCCGUGUUUGGUGCACGCCACGCCGGGAGACAGGUUGUUUAUGUGCGACACCACGCAAUCCUUGCUCCUUUUGCAAUUAUUUUAGCAGUAAAGCGCAUGUAGGCAUGAGCAUUUGGAGGUCCAUGCUCGAGGAUAGUGCGUGGGCUGCCAUAUCCCUUCCAACGCAAGGCAAAGUGCUAACGGGUAACACAACAUGUUGUUCUUUGUACCAAAUUCAGUUUCCUGUCUUGUGCUUAUAGCAUCGUAUUUUUUUUAUUCCAAAGAUCAUCACUGUACACUCAAAUAAACCAACGAAACCGGGGCAUCGAAAAGCCGUUUUGGACAUGUCCUCUUUGGCCAUAAAAAUUUGAUUAUACUUCGCAUUACCAUCAAGAAAACUAACAACCUUAUGUCGAGAGGCAUCAUUGAUAAGCAUAUCCGCUAUGGGCAUGGGAUACUCAUCUUUGGGUGUAGCUCUAUUUAAAUCUUUGAAAUCAAUGCACACACUUAAUUUGUUGGACCCUUUUUUCUUACCACAGGCACAAUAUUAAAGAUCCAUUUAGUAUACCUACAAGGUCUAAUACAAUUAGCUUUAAGCAAAAGACUGAUCUUGCUAUAAAUAUUAGUGGUAAUAUAAUAUUGAUCUUUUCAAUCGGUCGAUUUUAUCCAGCGUUGUCUGUAUGCAAUUUUUAUACAAUUAAUUUUUCUUUUGAAGUUGUUAAUCAUGUUGCCUUCCAUAGUAUUUUAAUUGAAAUACAAGAUGCAAACCAAAUUGGUUUUGGGGAAGUGCGAAGAUUUCAUUGUCUCCUUUUAUUUGCAUUUGAAGCAAGCCCAUCAGCAAUCACUCUUCUUACUUUAUUCUAUAUCGUGUAUGCCACUUUUAGUGAAUACACAUGACUAUUACUUCCUCGGUCCCAAAAUAAGUGUCGCUAAUUUAGUAUAACUUUAUACUAAAUCAGCGGCACUUAUUCUUAGGGGGUGGAGGGUUAUAAUUUAAUGUUUUUUGGGGAUUGGAUGCUCGUGUCAUUUUCAAGUUCGUAUAGUUUGUUUGAGACACUGCAAUUACAUUUGAGCAUUUUAUUUCUUUGUCUUCACCACUGCAAUGGCAGGUUUGAAUCUCUGAGUUCCUACUUGCUAAAAUGUGAGUUAUCCCAUUGCUUGUGCACAAUUUACUGAUCUACUCCCUCCGUUCUGAAUUACUUGUCACAUGUAUGGAUGUAUCUAAAUGUAUUUUAGUUCUAGAUACAUCCGUUUCUGCAACGAGUAAUUUGGAACGGAGGGAGUAUAUAUGUAGCUUCACUGAUAGAGGCUUUUAGGUUUUUCUGGAGAAAUCCUUAGGCCAAUAGAAAUUAGUGGGCUUAUUCCUUUCUGGACAUUAUCACAAACAACGGAGACGAAAUUGACCUAAAAUUCUGUGCAUUUAGUGAACUGACUAUGUUGUUCAGUAAUCUUGCAAGAUCAUCCAACAUGCCUUGGGUCAGAUUGAUGUAGCUUUGAUUAGUUUUUUUAUUUCUAUCACAAUGUUUAUUUAGUAUGUUCAAUAUCUUCUGUAGUGCUGUAAUGUACUUAGAUGUGUUGUCUGAGAGUAACUUCUUGUUUGCACGCCGAUGUUGAUGAAAUAUCGGCAGAACUCACUCCCUGUCUGGGACAAAGGUAGUCUGGGAAAAUCCUUGUCUGCUCUCUAGAUCAUUAGCAUUGUAAUUUCAAUCACCCGCAAAAAAGCGUUGUAAUUUCAAUGGCCUCGAUAUUUUAGCCUGGUACCUAUGCAAUGCUAUGUGCGGUAGUAUAAACCUUCUACAGGUUCGUGUCUAGGUGAGGUAUCUGCAGUAAUUCCUGAUUGGUAGUAAUUCUAAACAAAUACUUGUACUGCCUUAUCGUAUGUCUAUCCGGCGGGUAGUAUCCUUUGUACUACUGGACAGGGGGAAUGUAUCCGAUGCACCCGCACUUGUGGUACUACCGAUACACCGGAUGCCAUAGAAUAUUUUAAAAAAUCUGAAAAAAAUUAGCAUGUUAACACAACAUCAAUGUAUGAUGUCAGAAAAUUUCAUAUAAAAAGUUGAAAUAUUUUUUGAGACACAAAAAUGACAAAUUUAACAUCAGUGUGAUAAUGGGCCAAAUCUAAAGCCCAAAUUAUGUUAUGUACUAUUCAGUGUUGAAUCUGUCAUUUUUCUUUUGGGCGUUAUGUUUUGAAUUUUGACUUGAAAUUUUGUGACAAUCUACAUUGAUGUUGUGCAAGCAUGCUAAUUUUUUUUCAUAAUUUUUUGAACAUUUUAAAAGCACAAUGUGAGUUUGGUGCACCGGUAGCACCACAAACUUCGGUGCACUAGAUAUUUCCCCAUCCGGACAAUGGCCUAGGCAGAGGAUUGUAAACCAGGGCGGUCUAACUGACCCUUCUUUGCUUCCACAAACACGACAUGAUAACAUAGCAGCAGUAUAUAAUUCAUUGAAAUCAAACUGACAAGAAUCAAGCAGUUCAGUUCUACGAAAAAAAUGUCCAAUUGAACAAUUCUCAAUGAUAGUUAAUCAGUUCAAUUCUACAACAAAAACGUUUAUCAAAUCAAAUCCGCUCACAGUUAUGGUUUUCUUCAAACCAUGGCUCUCAGUUAUGCUUGUUCUUGUUCAAAAGCGAAAGGGUGCUUUGAAUGAGACGAAAUCAUUAAAAAAAACUUGCAUGCCGGUAGUCAGGCCGGUGCUGCUACUGAGGCCAUUGUUCUCUAAAUGGCGCUCAGGGUAUCAGGAGGACGCAGGAGUAUCGUACGAGGAAACAAAUGGAAAUAUCCAGUGCCAGUGGAUUGGUAGGUGGUUCUAUAUGGGAGCACCUAUAGGCCGCUCGUUGUGGCGAAAUGCCGGCGCUUCGCACAGGAGCGGCUAGCGUGGGCCGGCCCAUUUACAGUGGCACACGGCGGAACGUUCCCGAGAUGAAAAAUCGCAAAAAAGAAAUUAGCGCUCGCGCUGUAACUCAAACACGCGACUUCGCACUAACUGGCCUGCCGUGCAAACCACUGCGAUGUAGACAUUCUCACGUUCAACUAGCAGCGCGACAGUUAAAGACUACAGAUAAUUUAUUGGGUCGAACCGACGACCUCCUACAACUGAAUUUUCCAAAAUUAUGAAUAUUUUCUUCAAAAUAAAAACAUUUUCCGAAUUUUCGUACAAAUUUUGUAAAACAGGAACAUUUUGAUGAUGUGAACAAAUUUGAGAAAGGGGAACAUUUCUUGAAUUUGUGACCAAAAAACAAAAAUGUUUAUAUUUUUAAAACUUCUAGAACAUUUUUUGAAUUUGUGAUUUUAUUUGAAAAACAUGAACUAUUAUUGAAUUUGUGAACAAAUUUUGAAAACUGGAAUAUUUUUUUCAAUUCCCAAACAUUAUUUGAAUCUUGAGAAAUUUUUUUGAAAUGGUGAACAAUUUUAAAAAAUCCUGAACAAAUUUGGAAGCGCGAACAAUUUUUUAAAGCAUGAACAUUUUUGAAUCUUGAGAACAUAUUUCGAAACGGAGAGAAAUUUUGAAAAAUUCCGAACAAAUUUGGAAGUCGGAACAAUUUCUUAAAGCACAAACAUUUUCUGAAUCUUGAAAACAUAUUUUGAAACGGAGAGAAUUUUGAAAAAUCCUGAAAAAAUUUUGGAAGAGCUAACAUUUUUUGAAUAUGUGAAAAAAAAUUUUGAAAUUCAGUACAUUUUCUGAAUUUCAGAACUUUUGUACUUUUUUCUGUAACAAGAACAAAUUUUGAAUUUUGAGAACAUUUUUUGGAAACACGAACAAUAUUUAGUUUUUUGUUUUUUAAAGGACAAGAAGAAAAGAAAAGGAAAUAAAAAAGAAAAUCAUAAACAUUUGUAAAACUACGAACAUAUUCUGAAAAAGAAAAAUAAACUUGAAAAAGAAAA
rnacentral:lncRNA from 1 species